UACGUAGGGGGCAAGCGUUGUCCGGAAUUAUUGGGCGUAAAGCGCGCGCAGGCGGUCCUUUAAGUCUGAUGUGAAAGCCCACGGCUCAACCGUGGAGGGUCAUUGGAAACUGGGGGACUUGAGUGCAGAAGAGGAGAGUGGAAUUCCACGUGUAGCGGUGAAAUGCGUAGAGAUGUGGAGGAACACCAGUGGCGAAGGCGACUCCCUGGUCUGUAACUGACGCUGAGGCGCGAAAGCGUGGGGAGCAAACAGG
rnacentral:rRNA from 1 species